AAUGGUACAAAACCGUCGCCCCCUAAAAUAUAGAUCUUGAAAAACUCAUCAAAGAUCGCGGCGGUGAACCAACCGUCGCCGCCUAAACCUUUAAACACAUGCUGAAAAUUUCUCAAAGGUCACAACGGUGAACCAACCGUCGCCGCCUAAACCUUUAAACACAUGCUGGAAAUUUCUCAAAGGUCACAACGGUGAACCAACCGUCGCCGUCUAAACCUUUAAACACAUGCUGGAAAUUUCUCAAAGGUCACAACGGUGAACCAACCGUCUCCCCCUAAACCUUACCACACCCGCGCUCUGAAAAUUUAUCAUUUUUCCUUUGUUCACAUAAAAUUGGAGAGGGAAACGUACGACGAUUGAAAAACAUUCAUACCUAAAAUAUCCAUAACACUUGCUCAUUGGAGAAAGAGGGGAACAUUUAGGGUCGUGUUCCAAAACUAAGAAAAAUUGCUUUGCUUCACGUACUGCUUAUGAAUAUCUCUCUCAGCUCGAUACAAAUUCGUCCAUAAUCGUGCCUUGGUAUCUCUCUCUCAACUCACAUCACCGUCAAAGGAAUCACCAUCACCAUAAAUCUUAACAGCCCCUAUUUGUGAUUGAACCGUAGAGCAGGCAAAGUAUUCGAGUAGGCGGACGACAAUCUGCAGAUUGUGUUAGUUGAAAAGUGUGAGGCUUAUCCCAACCCCUGGUAGAGGAAGUGUAGGAAGAUUUUGUUUUGAAUUGGGAUGAUACACAGUUGAGAAGAAUUACUAGCUUAUAAUGAAUAACUUUUCCCGUGUAGUUGCUUCGCUACUCCUUGUUUGCGUUCUUCAACUUUGUUUGUGAGUUGCAAGGUCAACAUUCUCUACAAAUGUUUGUGUGUCUUUGAGAAAUGGAUAAGUCAUGAAUUACUAAGCCACAAUCAUCGAUUGCGUAUCAACAAGGGAUAAAAGAAUUUAUUGACUUUGCAUUUAAAGGUGCAAAAGAAAACGACGGUGUAAUAUGCCCUUGUAAACGUUGUGGUUUCAGAAAAUCAAAGAGUAGGAGUGACAUGUUCGGCCACUUAAUGUGGUCACCAUUUCCGCAGGGAUACACCAUUUGGAUUCAUCAUGGAGAGUCCUAUGUACUACAUAGUACUAUCUCCCAUAGUACUACUCCAAAUAUGGUUGAGGAUAAUAUCAUUGUCGAAGAUUCUAUUCAGAACAUGAUCAAUGCUGCAUUUGGAGUUGAUAGGAAUCAUGCUAAUGAAAUACCAUCUGCAUCAAAUUUUGAGAUUUACCAAGAAGAUUAUGUGAUGCCAAGUUUAACUCAGGAAAGAAAUGAGGCCAAGGAAUACUAUGAAUUGGCUAGAGAAGGAGAACAACCUUUAUAUGAAGGGUGUAGACAAUAUUCAAGAUUAUCUUUUUUGGUAAAGUUGUACCAUAUAAAGUGUUUAUGUGGAUUGAGUGAGAAGGCAAUGACAAUUAUUUUAGAGUUAAUAAAAGAUGCAUUUGAAUAUGCAAACAUUCCAAGUUCGUUCUAUGAAGCCAAGAAAUCAAUCACAAAAUUGGGUUUGAAUUAUGUAAAGAUACCUGCAUGUCCAAACGGUUGUAUGCUUUAUUGGGGAGAAGAUGAAGAGAGAGAGGCUUGCAAAACUUGUAACACUUCGAAAUGGAAAUCAAAUGAAGAGGGCCAUGUUAACAAGAAAAAGAAGAAAAUUCCAGCCAAGGUUCUUCGUUAUUUUCCAUUAAAACCUCGAUUACAAAGAUUAUUUUUGUCGUCAAAGACGGCCGAGGAUAUGAGAUGGCAUGCGAAUGAUACUAACAAUGAUGGAACGUUAAGGCAUCCUAGAGAUUCAGAAGCUUGGAAGAAAUUUGACUUGACACAUACUUGGUUUGCAUCAGAUCCAUGAAAUGUGCGUCUUGCAUUGGCUAGUGAUGGUUUUAAUCCAUUUGGUGUGAUGAGUACAAAUAAUAGUAUUUGGCCAGUUGUUCUCAUUCCAUAUAACACUCCUCCGUGGGUUUGCAUGAAGCAGACAUCGUUUAUAAUGUCAAUGAUAAUUCCUGAUAAAGAAGCACCAGGAAAAUAAUAUUUAUGUAUAUUUACAACCCUUAGUCAAAGAGUUGAAGGAGUUAUGGACAAAUGGUGUGGAUACAUAUGAUUCUUUCAAGAAAGAGAUGUUCACGUUACAUGCAAAUUUGAUGUGGACGAUUAGUGACUUUCCAGGUUUGGGUGCACUUUCUGGAUGGAACACAUACACAGGACUUGCUUGUCCAUCGUGUAACUUUGGAACUACUUCUCUCCGUCUUAAAGCUAGCCGUAAAUGGUGUUUUAUGGGUCAUCGUCGUUUCCUUAAUCAGAGACAUAGGUUUAGAUUGAAUAGGAUCCACUUUAAUGGUGAACAAGAAAUACGGAGUCCACCGAGAACAUUAUCUGGACAUCAAAUUUUUGAACAGGUUAAAGAGGUUAAAGUUGUCUUUGGUAAAAAGCCAGUGAAAGAAAAAUCGGUAAAAAGAAAACAUGAGGGACAACCUGUAGAAGGUGAUAGUACACAAUGUGAUCCUACACAAGGUCAUCCUCAACAAUGGAAAAAGAAAAGCAUAUUUUUUGAACUUCCGUAUUGGAAGGAUAAUCUUUUGCGCCAUAAUCUUGAUCCGAUGCAUAUUGAGAAAAAUGUAUGCGAUAAUGUCAUAUGUACUUUACUAAAUGAUAGGCAAAAGAGUAAAGACCAUUUUAAAGCUCGAGAAGAUCUUCAAAAUAUGGGCAUAAGACCUAAUCUUUGGCCUGAUGAAAAUGGUAGAAUUUCUCCUGCGGCCUUUAGUCUAACGGGUAAAGAUAAAAGGAAUUUUUUAACAAUUUUAAAGAAUAUUAGGGUGCCUGAUGGUUAUUCAAGCAACAUAUCUAGAUGCAUUGACUUGGUAAAUCUCAAGGUGAAUGGAAUGAUGAAGAGUCAUGAUUGUCAUAUAUUAAUGGAACAACUUCUACCAUUAGCCAUUCGCACAACAUUACCUCAUGAGAUUUCAGCAGUAUUGAUUGAGUUGUGCUCAUUCUUUAGACAACUAUGUGGUAAGGCAUUGAAAAUUGAAGACUUGGAAAAAAUGCAAAACCAAAUUGUCCUCACUUUAUGCCACAUGGAAAUGUUAUUUCCUCCCUCGUUCUUCACUGUUAUGGUUCACUUGGUUGUUCACCUUGUUGAAGAGGUUAAGCUUGGAGGUCCUGUUCAUUAUCGGUGGAUGUAUCCUGUUGAAAGGUACUUGGGAAAACUUAAAUCGCAUGUGCGUAAUAAGGCAAAACCAGAAGGGUCUAUUGCAGAAGGAUACCUUUUUGAAGAGAUUCUUACAUUUUGUUCAAGAUAUAUAGAAAACAUUGAGACUAGAUGGAAUCAACCUGGACGUGUAGAUGAUGAACCUAUUGGUGAUAUCCAAACAGGUUCACGGGUAACAGAAUUAUUUCCUAGAGUCGGAAAACAUGUGGGUGGAUCUUCAUAUUACACCCUAACACCAAUUGAAAAGUUGCAGGCUCAUAGACACGUUUUAACGAAUUGUCCAAUAGUUGAUGACUAUCUAAAGCAGUUCUGAAGUAUUACUCAGAACCAAAUAAGACGCGGUCAAAGAAGUGCUUCUGAGAUAGACAAGAAGGUUCAUAGAGAGUUUGCUCAUUGGUUCCGCAAUCGUAUUUGCAACAAUCUUGACAACAUUGAUGGACCAGAUAAAGAUGUCCUCAUUAGUCUUGCUCAUGGCCCUUAUGAUAAAGUUAAAAGGUUUACCGCAUUCAAUGUCAAUGGGUUCAAGUUUCAAACGUUGGAACGAG